UACGUAGGGGGCUAGCGUUGUCCGGAUUUAUUGUGCGUAAAGAGCGUGUAGGCGGCCAGGUAGGUCUGCUGUGAAAACUCGAGGCUCAACCUCGAGACGUCGGCGGAAACCAUCUGGCUAGAGUCCGGAAGAGGAGAGUGGAAUUCCUGGUGUAGCGGUGAAAUGCGCAGAUAUCAGGAAGAACACCCGUGGCGAAGGCGGCUCUCUGGGACGGUACUGACGCUGAGACGCGAAAGCGUGGGGAGCGAACAGG
rnacentral:rRNA from 1 species